UUUGUUGGUCAUUUGUGAAACCCAACCCAAUUAAAAUCCCAGCCGACACCCCCUUUCUUUUUCCUCCCAUCUCACUUUCUACUCUAUUUUAACCAAAAUCAAAACACUCACACAAAUUAACACAGAGAAAUUCCUUUCUUCCUAAACAAAACUCAACAACAAACACACUCACACUUGAUAAGCUCUCACCUCUCCCUCUCAUCUACAUAUGACCCGACACCGGCGACCAGAACAAAUCCGACGACGGUGGUCUUCUCCGACGAACAACGCACCCCCUUCUCUCCUCCCCGCUGAUGUGUAACCAGGAACGACAACAACCACCACCACCGUCUGGUGGUGGUGCGACGGUGUAACGAAGAGGAGAGAGAAACGAGAGAGAGAUCGAGACGAAAGAGAGAGAGCGCCGGAGAAGGAGCAGCACCGCCGUGAGCGGCGGUGGCAGUGGCGUGCGGCGGUGCGACCAAGGAAAGAACGAGAGAGAGAGAGAACCGGUGGUCCUUGUUGUUAUCCAACGGAUUUCGCUGUUUUUCCGGCGGUCCGUGCCUCGAUCCAGUGGUUCCUCUUGGUCCGACAAGUCUCACGGCUUCGCAGUGGUUCGAGUCCGGUCAGAGUCGGCCUAGAAGAGUUCAUGUUCAGGUUGGUUGCUUGGGGUUCCAUGGAAGCUUCGGUUCGGGUUUCGUGUUCGGGUUCGGGUCAAACCCGGUUGACUCGGUCAACACCCGAGUCAACUCGGGUCAACAGCUGGGUCAAACAGUCAACAACAGUCAACGGUUCGGAUCAACAGCUCGGUCAACAUAAGUUAACGGCGGUUCGCGAUUCAUGAUCCGGGAAGACUCGGUCAAACUGAGUCCACUCGACUCGGUCAACUCAGUUGACUCGUUCAACUCAGUCGAACGUAUCGACACGCGAAGACUUGGUAAAUAUUAGUGGCACAUUUAUGUUGUUAUUUUCAUAGGAUUAA